CUAAGGAAGGCAGCAGGCGCGCAAAUUACCCAAUCCUAAUACAGGGAGGUAGUGACAAGAAAUAACAAUACAGGACUUUAAAUAGUUUUGUAAUUGGAAUGAGUUAAGUAUAAACCCCUUUACAAGUAUCAAUUGGAGGGCAAGUCUGGUGCCAGCAGCCGCGGUAAUUCCAGCUCCAAUAGCGUAUAUUAAAGUUGUUGCAGUUAAAAAGCUCGUAGUUGGAUUUCUGUUAAUAAUUUAUAUAUAAUAUUUUUAUUAAUAUUUAUAUAAUAUUAACAUAAUUCAUAUUACUAAAUUUUUAUUAGUAUAUGAAAUUUUACUUUGAGAAAAUUAGAGUGCUUAAAGCAGGCAUUUGCCUUGAAUACUCCAGCAUGGAAUAAUAUAAAAGAUUUUUAUCUUUUUUAUUGGUUCUAAGAUAAAAAUAAUGAUUAAUAGGGACAGUUGGGGGCAUUUGUAUUUAACAGUUAGAGGUGAAAUUCUUAGAUUUGUUAAAGACAAACUAGUGCGAAAGCAUUUGCCAAGGAUGUUUUCAUUAAUCAAGAACGAAAGUUAGGGGAUCGAAGACGAUCAGAUACCGUCGUAGUCUUAACCAUAAACUAUGCCAACUAGAGAU
rnacentral:rRNA from 1 species